AUUGAACGCUGGCGGCAGGCCUAACACAUGCAAGUCGAGCGAGCGGCGGACGGGUGUGUAAUGUCUGGGGAACACCCUCUUGGGGGGGGGUAACUCUUCGAGAAGCUAGCUAAUAUCGCAUAUGAUCAGCUGUGUCCCCAUGGGAUUAGAUAGUAGGUGGGGUAACGGCUCACCUAGGCGACGAUCCCCAGCUGGUCUGAGAGGAUGACCAGCCACACUGGAACUGAGACACGGUCCAGACUCCUACGGGAGGCAGCAGUGGGGAAUAUUGCACAAUGGGCGCAAGCCUGAUGCAGCCAUGCCGCGUGUAUGAAGAAGGCCUUCGGGUUGUAAAGCACGUUCAGCGGGGAGGCGUUACCCGCAGAAGAAGCACCGGCUAACUCCGUGCCAGCAGCCGCGGUAAUAC
rnacentral:rRNA from 1 species